rnacentral:rRNA from 1 species
GAUGAACGCUGGCGGCGUGCUUAACACAUGCAAGUCGAACGGGAAACCUUUUAUUGAAGCUUCGGCAGAUUUAGCUGGUUUCUAGUGGCGGACGGGUGAGUAACGCGUGGGUAACCUGCCUUAUACAGGGGGAUAACAACCAGAAAUGGUUGCUAAUACCGCAUAAGCGCACAGGACCGCAUGGUCCGGUGUGAAAAACUCCGGUGGUAUAAGAUGGACCCGCGUUGGAUUAGCUAGUUGGCAGGGUAACGGCCUACCAAGGCGACGAUCCAUAGCCGGCCUGAGAGGGUGAACGGCCACAUUGGGACUGAGACACGGCCCAGACUCCUACGGGAGGCAGCAGUGGGGAAUAUUGCACAAUGGGGGAAACCCUGAUGCAGCGACGCCGCGUGAAGGAAGAAGUAUCUCGGUAUGUAAACUUCCAUCAGCAGGGAAGAUAGUGACGGUACCUGACUAAGAAGCCCCGGCUAACUACGUG